UGUGUGCGAGUGGGCGUGGCCCGAUUUGUGUUGCUGUGAAAAUGUCGAUAGCAAAGGUUUUUCAUUAGGGUAGGGGACCACUCUGGAUUUGAUUAUAUCCAGGAGGUUGAUGGGAGGUUUCGGCAGCGGUGACGGAGUAGAGAGAGUGAAGGACCGGAGGUGUUGCGAAAGAGGCUCUGCCGGUAAGUCACCCCGCCCUUCCAAGAGAAACUAUUUAUUUACAUCUAGUUUCUGCUCCGGUGAAUCACAUACCAUCAUCUGUAUGGAUUUAGGUUACAUUACGUCUAUGGUGGGCGAUUUGUGGCUCAUUUUCUUCGGAGCCAGUCAGAGGGCAGGAUAGCAGGGUGGGAUGGAGAGGUGUGCUGGAUGCGUGAUGCAGGAGGAUGUUGCGCACUUCAUUUUACCUCAAGAUUGAGUGGUCUGUCCAUCCAUGCGGUACUGCGUAGUGAUUUAAUUUAUGAGAAGGACUGGUACAUCAUCUGUUGUGCUUUAGGAAAGAAUGGCCCAACAUCUCUUGACAUCAAACCCCCAAACUGACUGCAGUUGUUUUGAUGACUGUUUGAGAAAAGCACGAGGGAAAUUAGGUAUUGCUUUCAACUUUCUGUGAAAGCACACGAUGCUGGAACACGAGCUGGUGGCGCCAGAGAGAACCUGUUUGCAUUCUUCAGAGCAAAGCAGCCCUGUCGUCCAAUUUACAUUAGAAAUGAAAAAUCAUCUGAUCGAGUGGCUGGAGAGCAACGCGCUAUCAUCCUCACUAUUCUACCAAGCAACAGAGAGGAGAGGACUCGUCCAGGUCUGUCUGCAUAUAGCUGCAGAUUCAAGGGUGCUACAUGCCACAGAAGGAACCCUUUUGGCAGAAGUGCCCCCCUUGGAAGCUGGUUUCAGAUGGUGGCUUAGAGUAUUGUCACCUAUCUAGCACCAUUUGAAAUCAGUGUUCUUGGGGUGGGAGGUGUAUCUCACUGACCAGCAACAAGCAGUCGUGUGUCUAAAGAGGUGUUCAGUGAUACAGGUAAAAUAAUGAGUCAACUUCACCUGAAAGGUAUCACUCCCUGAAGUGCCACUCAGUGGGCUACAAACCACCAGUCCACAGUGAUGUUUUAACAGCUCAAGCUCUUUGUCCUCUCUCCAAGGUUGACCGAUUUCUUUUGGUGUUCAGAGUCUGCUUUUGUUUCUAGCACCAUUUGAAAUCGGUUACAGUGAAGGACAGAUCUCGUCUUACCUUGAGGAGGAUUUUGCAACUAAGCUGUGCUCUUUAUUUUACUGAUUGUGCAAUGACUACAGUGAGGUUUUGUCAUGUCACUGUUUGAAAUCAUGCAAAAAUUACUCUCACAUUGGUCACUAACACCUUUGGGAAUUAGUUCAACAAUUCAGGAUCUCUCAUUGAUUGAUUUUUGCAGGGGAGGAAGAAAUAUUCUGAUCCUUUACUUGAGUAAAAGUAACAAUACUACAGUGUAAAAAAAUACAAAAUAAAUACUCUAUACAUAAUCAGUAAAAGUCCUCUAUUUUACAGUAAAAGUAUACAGUAUAGCAAAAUGCAUUGUUUUGCAUGUAAUAUCUACAUAGUAAUGCAACAGUAUUACUAAGGUAGUUAAAUAAAAAGCACAAUAUUUGCAUCUGAAACAUAGUGAUAUAAGUAUAGAGAGGCAUAGAAUGAAAAUAAUUCAGUACAAGUACUGAGUCAUCAAAGUUGCUGAUAGGUACUCUAUGUUAGUAAUUGUAGUUGUGCCUUAUUAGUUAGUCCAGUCUGUGUCAAAUCCACAAGGUGGCACUGUAAAAUAUUACAUCAGAGGAAUUUUUGAUUAGUCUUUGUCCCCACAGCAGGUACUUAAAUCAUGUUUACGGUGGCAAGUGUUAUAAAUAAUUUAAUAUUUUAAUUUUUAAAAAUUUUAAUUUGCUCAAAAUGUUGGAAAUAUCAGGGACUUACAGUAAAAAAUAAAUAAAUCACGCUCACAAGUUUAAAGUCUAUAGAUAUUAAAAAAGUGAAUAUUCUAUUGCUCUGUAUUAAAUCUAUAGUUAAGGAUGCUGAUUACAGCUGCAUAUUAUACAGUACAGUACACCUGUACGCUGUGUAUCACAUAGUUGUAACUGUUAUGUGACUAAAAGUAUAUAUCUCUAUCACAGAUCUCUUUUCUACAAAAACUAGAUAUGGAAUUACGUGUGAUACAAUAGUUUUGUUUUUUUUUUUUAAAUCUUGAAUAUUAAGAGCACAACCAUUGUCUGUUUUUCUCUGUAUUCUUAUAGGCUCUAUUCUUACUCACUGCAUUAGAACAUGCAUAGUAUAGAGAAAUAUAUGGAACAAAAGAAUAUAUGUGAAUGAACUGGCUUCAUUAACUUUUAAAACUCCAUAGCUUGAGAGCAGAUUCCUAAAUGUGGGUCAAACAAGAGUUUGUCAUCAUAAGCAAAGCUUGUGUACAAAUUGUGCAUAUGCACAUUAAAAGUAUAUUUAAAAACA